AAUCUUUACAUUUUCUAAGGAGACCGUGCUUUCUUCUUCUUCUCCAUCUCGUCUAGGUUUUCGAUUUGCUUUCUCUCGGUUCGGGCUCAUCUACGUCGUGGUUUUGGGAUCGAGCCUUUCUUCCUGUUCUUGCAAUUCUUGGCCGGCAAUCCCGCCAAAUCUAGUCGCCUGGAGUCGUUCCGUCUUGCCCCUGGAACCAAACCUCUUUUUAUUGUCGAGUCCGAGCAGCGGACCGCACAGUCAUGGACGGCUUCAAACUCGAUGCACCGCGGCAAUACUUUGCCACAAGCAGCCUUGUCGUUGGCUAUGCCCUCUGUUCCAGCUUGCUCUCUGUUAUCAACAAGUUUGCUAUCACAAUGUUCGAUUACCCUGGCCUCUUGACGGCAUUGCAGUACCUGACCUCCGCGGUUGGCGUUUGGGUUCUUGGGAAGCUGGGCUUUCUCUAUCAUGACCCUUUCGUCUUUGAGACGGCCAAGAAGUUUCUGCCCGCCGCUACCGUCUUUUACCUGGCCAUUUUCACAAACACCAAUCUCUUACGCCACGCUAACGUUGAUACGUUCAUAGUGUUUCGCUCCCUGACGCCUCUUCUGGUUGCCAUCGCGGAUACCAUCUUCAGAAAGCAGCCAUGCCCUUCAAGGCUCACGUUCUUUUCGCUUGUGGUUAUUCUCGGGGGCGCAGUUUGCUACGUGCUGACCGACUCAGCGUUCAAUCUCACUGCGUACUCAUGGGCGAUUGCUUAUUUGGUGACUAUUACUACCGAGAUGGUUUACAUAAAGCACAUGGUGACAAACCUAGGACUGAACACAUGGGGUUUUGUGUUCUACAAUAAUCUUCUGUCCUUAAUGAUGGCACCGGUGUUCUGGUUUGUCACUGGGGAGUAUGCAGAUGUCUUCACAGCUUAUGGAUCAAGUUCUGGGAUUUGGUUCAAUAUCAUGACUUUUGUUGCAGUAGCUUUGUCUUGUGUUUUCGGAUUUCUCAUCAGUUUCUUUGGAUUUGCGGCAAGGAAAACAAUCUCUGCUACUGCAUUUACGGUAACAGGGGUUGCCAACAAGUUUCUCACGGUGGCGAUCAAUGUAUUGAUCUGGGAUAAGCAUGCAAGCAAAAUUGGUUUGAUUUGCUUGCUUUUAACACUUGUGGGGGGAGUUCUGUAUCAGCAGUCAGUCACUAGCAAUGGGAACCUCUCACAACAGCAUGGCUCUGCAAUUUCUAAGAAGGCAAAUGGUGUGGUACGUAAUGUUGAUUCUGAAGAUGAAAGACAUGACAAGCGCCUAUCUGGGAGGGAUUCAACUGUAUGAUAUCAGUCUAGCUUUUGUUCACUGGAAAAAAGGGGCCAGAAAUGAGUUCUAACUUCUAAUCUGAACACUAUUCUUCCUUUAAUGGGCCAACCUCAUCAGUGACCUUGCAAGGUGAACAUGAAACUAUGGUGGAGGCAUGCUUGUAUUCGUCCAAGCAGUACCAGUUAUCACUUUAAUGUGGUGGAAGUGUUCCAAGUUAAACACUGAAGGAGCAUUCGAGUUUAUAACACAGAAGCUUCUUUUAGAGAGGAUGGAUUAAGAACUGCUAGACAUUGGCCUAUGAUUGAAUUCUGACCUGUAGGGCUGUAUGUUCAUGUAUGUGACUGGUGCAAAAUUAUUUUUGUUGGAAUUCAAGUAGCCACUACUAUCUGAUUUGGAAUCUAAAAUACCCAAUUAUUGAUGAUUAAGAGUUUGGUGAUGUCCUACAGCUUGUUGCACAUAAGAAUUGAGAUUACUAAGGAAGUGGAGAUAGCUAAUGCCUUAUUUUCUACAAGCGUUCAUAAGUCUUACAGCUGAGGAAAUAUCAGAUUAAGCUGCUUACGCAAGUAGCUGUAAAGGAUAAGAAACCCAGGUGAGAAUUCAGACCCUUUUCUGUAUCUGUUUCUCUUUAAUGUUUUCUUGGACUUAAAUCUUCCCCGUCUAGUAAAUUUUCUUAGAUACAUGUACCACUGAAAAGUCUAUGGAACAAUGAAAACAACAUU